GAUGAACGCUGGCGGCGUGCCUAAUACAUGCAAGUCGAGCGAACAGACGAGGAGCUUGCUCCUCUGACGUUAGCGGCGGACGGGUGAGUAACACGUGGAUAACCUCCCUUUAUGACUGGGAUAACUUCGGGAAACCUGAGCUAAUACCGGAUAAUAUAUUGAACCGCAUGGUUCAAUAGUGAAAUACGGUUUUGCUGUCACUUAUAGAUGGAUCCGCUGCGCAUUAGCUAGUUGGUAAGGUAACGGUUUACCAAGGCAACGAUGAGUAGCCGACCUAAGAGGGGAAGCAGCCACGCUGGAAGAGGAAGAGGAGCAACAUUCUAAGGGAGGCACGAGUAGGAAAUCUACCGGAAUGAGCGGAAGCCAAAAGGGGGAAAGCCGCGAGAGCGAUAAGGAUCUUCGGAGCGUAAAACAUUAUAAUUAGGGAAGAACAAAUGUGUAAGUAACUAUGCAAGUCUUGACGGUACCUAAUCAGAAAGCCACGGCUAACUACGUG
rnacentral:rRNA from 1 species